UACGAAGGGUGCGAGCGUUGUUCGGAAUUACUGGGCGUAAAGGGUUCGUAGGCGGGAACUUAAGUCAAGUGUGAAAUCCCCAGGCUCAACCUGGGACGUGCACCUGAAACUGGGUUUCUUGAGUAACGGAGAGGGCAAUGGAAUUGCUGGUGUAGGAGUGACAUCCGUAGAGAUCAGCAGGAACACCGGAGGCGAAGGCGAUUGCCUGGCCGUUUACUGACGCUGAGGAACGAAAGCGUGGGGAGCAAACAGG
rnacentral:rRNA from 2 species